AUCAACAAAACUCACAUCUUUUUUCUUUUUAACAACAAAAAUAUAUAUCAACAACACAACACAAAGUAGAAACAAUGCCUUUGUUCAGUGGCGACUACACCGCCGGGCAUGCCUGGCACCUGCCUGGGCUGCCCCUUUUUAUUUUUAUUUUUUUUAUUUUUUAUUUUAAAUGAAAACAAAAACAGAAAAAGGAAGAGUAGUUUGCUUUCUCUUUCUCGAUUCCUCUCUCUCUCAAAAUCGCUGCCUCAGUUCCUCUCUCACGCGCCGGCCGCCGCUCUCAAUCCCUCUCUCACUGCUCUCAAUCUCUCUCCCUCACCUCGCCGUAACGCCGUAACGCCGUUCAAUCUUCCGCCGCAGCCGCACCACUGCUCAGCUCACCGCGCCGCACCGCACUCACUCUUUCUCUUCGUCUCGUUUGAGGAUUGGAGUAACAAAUGUUUACCUGCAAAGGAAGGAAGGAGCAAUAGAAUUUAAGAAGAGCAUUCACUACCAAUGGAGCCUACACCACCAAUAAAGGAAAGUUGAUUUUCAGAUUCAAACAGUGAAAGCGAAAGACACAAGAGAAACAAUUUAAAGAGUUUGUAUAUUUAGUUUUGGAGACAAUGAAAUGAACCACAAAAUAAGCAAAUAAGGAGGUAAUAUAAUAUAUAUACUUUGGUUUUUUUUCUAAGAAAAGAUGCUAUUCAAGUAUUGGAUUUGAUUCAAUAUAGAUAAUAAUGUUAACAGAUUAACAUGUCAUCCAAGUGUGAUUUGUUUUGUAUUGACUAAUUCUGAUAAACUAAGAAAGUGUAUUUUUAUUGAUAAUAAUGUUACCAGAUAUAGCAGUACAGAGGGCUGCAUGUUUCAUUGCAGUUUAAGAAAUUAUACGACUCAGGUUAUUCACUAGAAUGUGGAAUGUUUGUAUUGAUACACUUACAAUACCAAAUUGCAAAUCCAACAAAAACAAGUUCAAUAACAAUAACUACUAUACUAAAAACACAUUACAACACAUUCAAAAACCUGAAACCAAAAACACAUACUAUUAUUCUUUUUGGACAACUAUUGCCAAAAUAAACUAUAAGAAAACACCAUCAAAUCAGUCCAAUAGAAUACAAACAAUAAUAGUUGACCCCACUUACCAAUGGAUUAUGUUGAUCAAUAUCGAAUCUAUUGAUAGUAGUAGUAUAUUCUUAUCAAACGAAUCUAGAUUCGGUCAAAUUUAAUUAGUACUUAUGUUAAAACAGUUAAUGUUGCAGAAAUGAGAAAAAAAUAACAUCAGAUCACCUCUCAGGAAUCAUGAUGCCCUCUCACAAACAUGCAUUUUCAAUUGUCCUAGCAUAAUGUCAUGCAUAUUUUCAAUUCUAAUAAGCUAUUGCACCCUUAAAGGAUUUGCUGGUUUGGUAUAUAUUUAAUGACAAGCACGAAUCACACAUGCAGACACUGCUUUAAGAUCAGUAGAAUAAAUUUCUUAAGAAACUCAAGAGCUGCAUAACUUGAAAUCUGCUUUUAAACACAAUUUCUAUCCAUAAUUUGAUCAUUUUGAGUAUUUAAAUUCGCCACCAACAUCUUUAAGCUUAUAAAAAUAUUGUAACCACAAACUUAACUUUAUUAAGAAACUCUAUGACUUAAUCUAAAUUGUGCUAAAAUCCAAAACCAAUGCUGCUUCUCUAUCUCCAAGAAAAACAAACAUAAAUAACACAAGUAAUGAGGAGUGGGGUUACCAUAAUAAUCAUUGAUUCAAAGAUUAAAAAUAAGACACAAGCAGAAACUAAAAACCAUAAUAAUCAAACUAAUAAAAAAAUAUACUCUAAUAAUUCAUUAAUUCAAAGAUCAAAAUAAGACACAAACAGAUUACAUGAAACUGAUACAUAGAGAUAGAUGUUAUACCA